GAGCCACAUUGCUACGGAAGGGCUGGGACCCAGACACAGGGUCCAGAGUGUCCUCGAGGUAUCAGAAGAACUCCUGGAGAGCAAGCUGAGGGCUGUGUCAUCGCCACACCCUCCAUGGGUCCCUGCUCCUGAGUUAGGCUAUGCCCAGCCGCCCAGUGACUCAGAAGCUAUGCACACAAGGGCCCUGCUGAAGGACAGCGGCUUCUGCUUCCUCUGAUCCUGGCAGCCUGGAACUUCCUGAGAGGACUGGGCAUGUGGAUAGCCAUGGUGGGGACGUCCUUCAAACUGGGGAAUGGGCUCCCCUAGACACAGUCGCUUCCACAGGAAUCUUCUAGAGCCUCACCCAGGGCAGAGCGGACACCCGCAGCAGCCUGGAGUU
rnacentral:sRNA from 1 species